CCUACGGGUGGCAGCAGUGGGGAAUAUUGCGCAAUGGGCGCAAGCCUGACGCAGCGACGCCGCGUGCGGGAUGAAGGUCUUCGGAUCGUAAACCUCUGUUAGCAGGGAAGAACGGUCACUGUGCUAAUCAGCAGUGAAUUGACGGUACCUGCAAAGGAAGCACCGGCUAACUCCGUGCCAGCAGCCGCGGUAAUACGGAGGGUGCGAGCGUUAAUCGGAAUUACUGGGCGUAAAGCGCUCGUAGGCGGUAUGUCAAGUGAAGGGUGAAAUCCCCGCGCUCAACGUGGGAACUGCCUUUGAUACUGGCCAACUGGAGUGUGUGAGAGGAAAGUGGAAUGCCAGGUGUAGGGGUGAAAUGCUUAGAGAUC
rnacentral:rRNA from 1 species